rnacentral:misc_RNA from 1 species
UAAUAUUGAAGACUUUGAAAAAAUAUGCAUUAAAACCUCCGCUCAGGUUAAAGAAUGGAGUAUAAGUCUAGCAUUAAAUGGGUGUAAAAAUAUGGCAUAUUAUUUUAAUAACCUACGCACAGAGCAACUGGUAUGUUUUUGUGUUUGAUCUGUCCAUGUCCAUUCGAUUAUUAUCAUUAGAAGUUUAUUCUACCUCUGUGGUACCACGCUCUACCUCAAUUCUUGUUAACAAAUGGAAUGGAAUUCUCAUAUAUAUAUCAAAUUGGUGUAAAAAUAUAAUUUAAGAACUACAAGUUAUUGUCACAGUUUUGAGUAAAGCAACUGUUCUUCUGGUUUAAAAUGAAGUAUGAAUCUAGUAUCAACUGUGUGUACAAAGAUUUACUACUUAAAGAACUUAUCAAUGGACCAACUGAUUAUAGAAUAGUUUUUUAUGAGAAUAAAAAAAAUUUCAAAUUGCUAUUUGCAUAUUU